rnacentral:rRNA from 1 species
AGCUACAGGCUUAACACAUGCAAGUCGAGGGGUAGCAGGGUAGCAAUACCGCUGACGACCGGCGCACGGGUGAGUAACACGUAUCCAACCUUCCCAUAACUCGGGGAUAGCCUUUCGAAAGAAAGAUUAAUACCCGAUAGUACUUAAGAAAGGCAUCUUUUUUAAGUUAAAGAUUUAUUGGUUAUGGAUGGGGAUGCGUUCCAUUAGAUAGUUGGUGAGGUAACGGCUCACCAAGUCUUCGAUGGAUAGGGGUUCUGAGAGGAAGGUCCCCCACAUUGGUACUGAGACACGGACCAAACUCCUACGGGAGGCAGCAGUGAGGAAUAUUGGUCAAUGGGCGAGAGCCUGAACCAGCCAAGUAGCGUGAAGGAUGACGG